UUCGAUUCUCCUCGUUAUCCA
rnacentral:piRNA from 1 species